rnacentral:rRNA from 2 species
UGCAAGUCGAGCGGACCGACGGGAGCUUGCUCCCUUAGGUCAGCGGCGGACGGGUGAGUAACACGUGGGUAACCUGCCUGUAAGACUGGGAUAACUCCGGGAAACCGGGGCUAAUACCGGAUGCUUGAUUGAACCGCAUGGUUCAAUCAUAAAAGGUGGCUUUUAGCUACCACUURCAGAUGGACCCGCGGCGCAUUAGCUAGUUGGUGAGGUAACGGCUCACCAAGGCGACGAUGCGUAGCCGACCUGAGAGGGUGAUCGGCCACACUGGGACUGAGACACGGCCCAGACUCCUACGGGAGGCAGCAGUAGGGAAUCUUCCGCAAUGGACGAAAGUCUGACGGAGCAACGCCGCGUGAGUGAUGAAGGUUUUCGGAUCGUAAAACUCUGUUGUUAGGGAAGAACAAGUACCGUUCGAAUAGGGCGGCACCUUGACGGUACCUAACCAGAAAGCCACGGCUAACUACGUGCCAGCAGCCGCGGUAAUACGUAGGUGGCAAGCGUUGUCCGGAAUUAUUGGGCGUAAAGCGCGCGCAGGCGGUUUCUUAAGUCUGAUGUGAAAGCCCCCGGCUCAACCGGGGAGGGUCAUUGGAAACUGGGGAACUUGAGUGCAGAAGAGGAGAGUGGAAUUCCACGUGUAGCGGUGAAAUGCGUAGAGAUGUGGAGGAACACCAGUGGCGAAGGCGACUCUCUGGUCUGUAACUGACGCUGAGGCGCGAAAGCGUGGGGAGCGAACAGGAUUAGAUACCCUGGUAGUCCACGCCGUAAACGAUGAGUGCUAAGUGUUAGAGGGUUUCCGCCCUUUAGUGCUGCAGCAAACGCAUUAAGCACUCCGCCUGGGGAGUACGGUCGCAAGACUGAAACUCAAAGGAAUUGACGGGGGCCCGCACAAGCGGUGGAGCAUGUGGUUUAAUUCGAAGCAACGCGAAGAACCUUACCAGGUCUUGACAUCCUCUGACAACCCUAGAGAUAGGGCUUCCCCUUCGGGGGCAAAAUGACAAGUGGGUGCAUGGUUGUCGUCAGCUCGUGUCCUGAGAAUGUUGGGUUAAGUCCCGCAACGAGCGCAACCCUUG